rnacentral:rRNA from 1 species
UUUUAUGGAGAGUUUGAUCCUGGCUCAGGAUGAACGCUGGCGGCGUGCCUAAUACAUGCAAGUCGAGCGAACGGACGAGAAGCUUGCUUCUCUGAUGUUAGCGGCGGACGGGUGAGUAACACGUGGAUAACCUACCUAUAAGACUGGGAUAACUUCGGGAAACCGGAGCUAAUACCGGAUAAUAUUUUGAACCGCAUGGUUCAAAAGUGAAAGACGGUCUUGCUGUCACUUAUAGAUGGAUCCGCGCUGCAUUAGCUAGUUGGUAAGGUAACGGCUUACCAAGGCAACGAUGCAUAGCCGACCUGAGAGGGUGAUCGGCCACACUGGAACUGAGACACGGUCCAGACUCCUACGGGAGGCAGCAGUAGGGAAUCUUCCGCAAUGGGCGAAAGCCUGACGGAGCAACGCCGCGUGAGUGAUGAAGGUCUUCGGAUCGUAAAACUCUGUUAUUAGGGAAGAACAUAUGUGUAAGUAACUGUGCACAUCUUGACGGUACCUAAUCAGAAAGCCACGGCUAACUACGUGCCAGCAGCCGCGGUAAUACGUAGGUGGCAAGCGUUAUCCGGAAUUAUUGGGCGUAAAGCGCGCGUAGGCGGUUUUUUAAGUCUGAUGUGAAAGCCCACGGCUCAACCGUGGAGGGUCAUUGGAAACUGGAAAACUUGAGUGCAGAAGAGGAAAGUGGAAUUCCAUGUGUAGCGGUGAAAUGCGCAGAGAUAUGGAGGAACACCAGUGGCGAAGGCGACUUUCUGGUCUGUAACUGACGCUGAUGUGCGAAAGCGUGGGGAUCAAACAGGAUUAGAUACCCUGGUAGUCCACGCCGUAAACGAUGAGUGCUAAGUGUUAGGGGGUUUCCGCCCCUUAGUGCUGCAGCUAACGCAUUAAGCACUCCGCCUGGGGAGUACGACCGCAAGGUUGAAACUCAAAGGAAUUGACGGGGACCCGCACAAGCGGUGGAGCAUGUGGUUUAAUUCGAAGCAACGCGAAGAACCUUACCAAAUCUUGACAUCCUUUGACAACUCUAGAGAUAGAGCCUUCCCCUUCGGGGGACAAAGUGACAGGUGGUGCAUGGUUGUCGUCAGCUCGUGUCGUGAGAUGUUGGGUUAAGUCCCGCAACGAGCGCAACCCUUAAGCUUAGUUGCCAUCAUUAAGUUGGGCACUCUAAGUUGACUGCCGGUGACAAACCGGAGGAAGGUGGGGAUGACGUCAAAUCAUCAUGCCCCUUAUGAUUUGGGCUACACACGUGCUACAAUGGACAAUACAAAGGGCAGCGAAACCGCGAGGUCAAGCAAAUCCCAUAAAGUUGUUCUCAGUUCGGAUUGUAGUCUGCAACUCGACUACAUGAAGCUGGAAUCGCUAGUAAUCGUAGAUCAGCAUGCUACGGUGAAUACGUUCCCGGGUCUUGUACACACCGCCCGUCACACCACGAGAGUUUGUAACACCCGAAGCCGGUGGAGUAACCUUUUAGGAGCUAGCCGUCGAAGGUGGGA